GGAGUAAGAUGAGUCGAAUAGAAGCUUCUAACUUUUAAUUCAAGCGGUUUGAGUCCGUUUUUACGCCU
rnacentral:tRNA from 1 species